UACGAAGGGGGCUAGCGUUGCUCGGAAUCACUGGGCGUAAAGGGUGCGUAGGCGGGUCUUUAAGUCAGAGGUGAAAGCCUGGAGCUCAACUCCAGAACUGCCUUUGAUACUGAGGAUCUCGAGUUCGGGAGAGGUGAGUGGAACUGCGAGUGUAGAGGUGAAAUUCGUAGAUAUUCGCAAGAACACCAGUGGCGAAGGCGGCUCACUGGCCCGAUACUGACGCUGAGGCACGAAAGCUAGGGUAGCGAACGGGG
rnacentral:rRNA from 1 species